rnacentral:rRNA from 1 species
AUCGAACGCUGGCGGCAGGCCUAAUACAUGCAAGUCGAGCGAGCGGCGGACGGGUGCGUAAUGUAUGGGGACUGCCCGUUAGAGGGGGAUAACUACUGGAAACGGUAGCUAAUACCGCAUACUAUCGGAUAACCCAUAUGGGAUUAGCUAGUAGGUGAGGUAAUGGCUCACCUAGGCGACGAUCCCUAGCUGGUCUGAGAGGGUGAUCAGCCACACUGGGACUGAGACACGGCCCAGACUCCUACGGAGGCAGCAGUGGGGAAUAUUGGACAAUGGACGCAAGCCUGAUGGAGCCACGCCGCGUGUGUGAAGAAGGCCCUAGGGUUGUAAAGUACUUUCGGUCGGGAGGCGUUACCGACAGAAGAAGCAACGGCUAACUCCGUGCCAGCAGCCGCGGUAAUAC